rnacentral:rRNA from 1 species
GAUGAACGCUAGCGACAGGCUUAACACAUGCAAGUCGAGGGGCAGCACAAUGUAGCAAUACAUGGGUGGCGACCGGCGCACGGGUGAGUAACGCGUAUGCAACUUGCCUAUCAGAGGGGGAUAACCCGUCGAAAGACGGACUAAUACCGCAUGAAACAGGGGUCCCGCAUGGGAAUAUUUGUUAAAGAUUUCAUCGCUGAUAGAUAGGCAUGCGUUCCAUUAGGUAGUUGGCGGGGCAACGGCCCACCAAGCCGACGAUGGAUAGGGGUUCUGAGAGGAAGGUCCCCCACACUGGUACUGAGACACGGACCAGACUCCUACGGGAGGCAGCAGUGAGGAAUAUUGGUCAAUGGGCGGGAGCCUGAACCAGCCAAGUCGCGUGAGGGACGACGGCCCUACGGGUUGUAAACCUCUUUUACAAGGGAAUAAAGGACUUUACGAGUAAAGUUUUGCAUGUACCUUAUGAAUAAGCAUCGGCUAACUCCGUGCCAGCAGCCGCGGUAAUACGGAGGAUGCGAGCGUUAUCCGGAUUCAUUGGGUUUAAAGGGUGCGUAGGUGGCUUGUUAAGUCAGCGGUGAAAGUCAUUGGCUCAACCAAUGAAUUGCCGUUGAAACUGGCGAGCUUGAGUACGUACGGGGCAGGCGGAAUGCGUGGUGUAGCGGUGAAA